rnacentral:lncRNA from 10 species
GACAACUUCUUACUUUGUUGCCCAGGCUGAAGUGCAGUGAUGCGAUCACGGCUCACUGCAGCCUCGACCUCCCAGGCUCAAGCGAUCCUCCCACCUCAACAUCCCAAGUAGCUGGGACUCCAAACGCGUGCCACUAUGCCCGGCUAAGUUUUGUAUUUUUAGUAGAGAUGGAGUUUUGCCAUGUUGCCCCGGCUGGUCUCGGACUCCUGGGCUCAAGCAAUCUGCCUGCCUCUGUCUCCUGAAGUGUUGUGAUUACAGGCAUGAGCCACCGCACCUGGCCAAGAUGCUUUUUCUGUUUCUGAGAUACAAUGAACUAUAUCUUAAGAAUUCAUAAAGCCCUAAAAAGUAAAUAUUUACAACCAGAAAUCUUUCUGACAAAGAAACAAGAUUACUCAAACUUCAUAUAAUCAUCUGAUACAUACAUCACAUCAAUUUCAGCCUAGGCUCUCUAUGGUGGCAAAUUAUUUCAGCACUAAAUCAUGAAGGCUGGAUUCUUGAAGCCUGGCAGAGGCAAAUGUCUCAUUAAUGCUGAUCUGAGAGACAUCUGUGAUGAGCCUGAACAUCAGGCCAAUCUGCAGAGCUGAUCAGGGGCUGCUGAGUGGUUCUGAAGUGAGUCAGGCUGUGAAUGAAGACUCCACCAGAAUGAGGAGAAUUCCAUGCAUGGAGAUUCAAAUAAAGACAAAAGGGAGAUGCAACUAUGGAGGCUGAGAAGUCCCACCAUCGGAGCGCCUCUGCCCCGCCGCCCCAUCUGGGAUGUGAGGAGCGCCUCUGCCCGGCCGAGACCCCGUCUGGGAGGUGAGGAGCGUCUCUGCCCGGCCGCCCCGUCUGAGAAGUGAGGAGACCCUCUGCCUGGCAACCACCCCGUCUGAGAAGUGAGGAGCCCCUCCGCCCGGCAGCUGCCCCGUCUGAGAAGUGAGGAGCCUCUCCGCCCGGCAGCCACCCCAUCUGGGAAGUGAGGAGCGUCUCCGCCCGGCAGCCACCCCGUCCGGGAGGGAGGUGGGGGGGGGUCAGCCCCCCGCCCGGCCAGCCGCCCCAUCCGGGAGGGAGGUGGGGGGUCAGCCCCCCCGCCCGGCCAGCCGUGCCAUCCGGGAGGGAGGUGGGGGGGUCAGCCCCCCGCCUGGCCAGCCGUGCCGUCCGGGAGGGAGGUGGGGGGGUCAGCCCCCCGUCCGGCCAGCCGCCCCGUCCGGGAGGUGAGGGGCGCCUCUGCCCGGCCGCCCCUACUGGGAAGUGAGGAGCCCCUCAGCCCGGCCAGCCACCCCGUCCGGGAGGGAGAUGGGGGGGUCAGCCCCCCCACCCGGCCAGCCGCCCCGUCCGGGAGGGAGGUAGGGGGGUCAGCCCCCCGCCUGGCCAGCCGCCCCGUCCGGGAGGGAGGUGGGGGGGUCAGCCCUCCGCCCGGCCAGCCGCCCCGUCUGGGAGGUGAGGGGCGCCUCUGCCCAGCCGCCCCUACUGGGAAGUGAGG